CCCUUAGAUGUCCUGGGCCGCACGCGCGCUACACUGAGUGUCUGAGAUACGAGUCUGCCUGGUCCGGCAAGGUCUAGGUAAUCGCUAAAAGACACAUCAUGCUUGGGAUAGAUUAUUGCAAAUAUUAAUCUUGAACGAGGAAUUCCUAGUAAGCGCAAGUCAACAGCUUGCGUUGAUUACGUCCCUGCCCUUUGUACACACCGCCCGUCGCUACUACUGAUUGGAUGUUUAAGCGAGGUUCUCGAACUGCUAGCGACUUAGCUUCGGUGAGGUCGCAGUGUGGGAAGUGAACCUAGCUUUGGUGUCUAGAGGAAGCAAAAGUCGUAACA
rnacentral:rRNA from 1 species